GUGUCAGCAGCCGCGGUAAUACGUAGGGUGCGAGCGUUAAUCGGAAUUACUGGGCGUAAAGCGUGCGCAGGCGGUGAUGUAAGACAGGUGUGAAAUCCCCGGGCUUAACCUGGGAACUGCAUUUGUGACUGCAUCGCUGGAGUGCGGCAGAGGGGGAUGGAAUUCCGCGUGUAGCAGUGAAAUGCGUAGAUAUGCGGAGGAACACCGAUGGCGAAGGCAAUCCCCUGGGCCUGCACUGACGCUCAUGCACGAAAGCGUGGGGAGCAAACAGGAUUAGAUACCCUGGUAGUCC
rnacentral:rRNA from 1 species